UACGGGGGGAGCAAGCGUUGUUCGGAUUUACUGGGCGUAAAGGGCGCGUAGGCGGCCACUGCAAGUCGGUUGUGAAAUCUCCGGGCUUAACCCGGAAAGGUCAGCCGAUACUGCGGGGCUAGAGUGCAGAAGGGGCAACUGGAAUUCUCGGUGUAGCGGUGAAAUGUGUAGAGAUCGGGAGGAACACCGGUGGCGAAGGCGGGACUCUGGGCCUACCCUGACGCUGAGGCGCGAAGGCGUGGGGAGCAAACGGG
rnacentral:rRNA from 1 species